AAACUGUAGUGACACGGAAGGUAAGACAGAGCCGGGAAUGAGAAAACCGGUGCAAGCACAAUAGAUGUGUGGGAGGAAAAUCCCCCGCAUAAGCCAAAGGUGUGAUGCGGACCGAAAAAGAGUAGGGAAGCUGUUAAGCAAGCCGUCAAGAAAAGCUGCUAUUGUUUCAUUAUGGCCCGUACCGUAAACCGACACAGGUGGAUGGGGAGAGAAUCCUAAGGCCGGCGGAAGAAGUAUUGUUAAGGAACUCGGCAAAAUGACCCCGUAACUUCGGGAGAAGGGGUGCCUGCGAGAGCAGGCCGCAGAGAAGAGGCCCAAGCAACUGUUUAGCAAAAACACAGGUCUAUGCAAAACCGAAAGGUGAGGUAUAUGGGCUGACGCCUGCCCGGUGCUGGAAGGUUAAGGGGAGUGGUCAGGAAACGAAGCCACGAACUUAAGCCCCAGUAAACGGCGGCCGUAACGAUAACGGUCCUAAGGUAGCGAAAUUCCUUGUCGGGUAAGUUCCGACCCGCACGAAAGGCGUAAUGAUUUGGGCGCUGUCUCGACAAUACAUCCGGUGAAAUUGAAGUGCCAGUGAAGAUGCUGGCUACCUGCGCCAGGACGGAAAGACCCCAUGGAGCUUUACUCCAGCUUGAUACUGGGACCCGGUAUUGCGUGUACAGGAUAGGUGGGAGGCUAGGAAAUGUGGACGCCAGUCUGCAUGGAGCCGCUGUUGGGAUACCACCCUUGUGGUGCUGGGUUUCUAACCAGAGGCCGUGAACCGGUCUGGGGACAAUGUCAGGUGGGGAGUUUGACUGGGGCGGUCGCCUCCGAAAGGGUAUCGGAGGCGCCCAAAGGUUCCCUCAGAAUGGUUGGAAACCAUUCGAAGAGUGCAAAGGCAGAAGGGAGCUUGACUGCGACACCGACGGGUGGAGCAGGUACGAAAGUAGGGCUUAGUGAUCCGGUGGAAUUUAAGUGGGAAUGCCAUCGCUCAACGGAUAAAAGCUACCCUGGGAUAACAGGCUGAUCACUCCCAAGAGUUCACAUCGACGGAGUGGUUUGGCACCUCGAUGUCGGCUCAUCGCAUCCUGGGGCUGAAGUCGGUCCCAAGGGUUGGGCUGUUCGCCCAUUAAAGCGGUACGCGAGCUGGGUUCAGAACGUCGUGAGACAGUUCGGUCCCUAUCCGGCGUGGGCGUAGGAUAUCUGAGAGGAGCUGUCCUUAGUACGAGAGGACCGGGAUGGACUGACCUCUGGUGUACCGGUUGGCGAUCAACGCCACGGCCGGGUAGCCAUGUCGGGACGGGAUAAACGCUGAAGGCAUCUAAGCGUGAAGCCCCCCUCAAGAUGAGAUAUCCCAUCGUAAGAGUAAGACCCCUUGGAGACGACGAGGUUGAUAGGGCAGGGGUGGAAGUGCUGUAAGGCAUGGAGCUGACUGCUACUAAUCGGUCGAGGGCUUGACCU
rnacentral:rRNA from 1 species